rnacentral:tRNA from 1 species
GCCGGGAUCGCCUAACGGUAUGGCACCAGCCUGCUAAGCUGGCUCCUUUUGGAGAUCUGGGUUCAAUUCCCAGUCCCGGCG